rnacentral:rRNA from 1 species
GAUGAACGCUGGCGGCGUGCCUAAUACAUGCCAGUCGAGCGAACAGACGAGGAGCUUUCUCCUCUGACGUUAGCGGCGGACGAGUGAGUAAUACGUGGAUAACCUCCCUAUAAGACUUGGUGAACUUCGGCAAACCGGAGUUAAUACUGGAUAAUAUAUUGAGCCUGUUGGUUCAUUGGUGAAAGACGGAUUUGCUGUCACUUGUAGAUGGACCCGCGGCGUAUUAGCUAGUUGGUAGGGUAACGGCUUACCAAGGCAACGAUGCGUAGCCGACCUGAGAGGGUGAUCGGCCACACUGGAACUGAGACACGGUCCAGACUCCUACGGGAGGCAGCAGUAGGGAAGCUUCCGCAGUGGGCGAAAGCCUGACGGAGCAACGCCGCGUGAGUGAGGAAGGUCUUCGGAUCGUAAAGCUCUGUUAUUAGGGAAGAACAAAUGUGUAAGUAACUAUGCACGUCUUGACGGUACCUAGUCAGGAAGCCACGGCUAACUACGUG